GGCGAACGGGUGAGUAAUGCAUCGGAACGUGUCCUGUAAUGGGGGAUAACCUAUCGAAAGGUAGGCUAAUACCGCAUACGUCCUGAGGGAGAAAGCGGGGGAUCGCAAGACCUCGUGUUAUAGGAGCGGCCGAUGUCGGAUUAGCUAGUUGGUGGGGUAAAGGCCUACCAAGGCGACGAUCCGUAGCGGGUCUGAGAGGACGGCCCGCCACACUGGGACUGAGACACGGCCCAGACUCCUACGGGAGGCAGCAGUGGGGAAUUUUGGACAGUGGGGGCAACCCUGAUCCAGCCAUGCCGCGUGAGUGAAGAAGGCCUUCGGGUUGUAAAGCUCUUUCGGCCGGGAAGAAAUCGCGCCAGCUAAUACCUGGUGUGGAUGACGGUACCGGAAGAAGAAGCACCGGCUAACUACGUGCCAGCAGCCGCGGUAAUACGUAGGGUGCGAGCGUUAAUCGGAAUUACUGGGCGUAAAGCGUGCGCAGGCGGCUCUAUAAGACAGAUGUGAAA
rnacentral:rRNA from 1 species